rnacentral:rRNA from 1 species
UACGGAGGAUGCGAGCGUUAUCCGGAUUUAUUGGGUUUAAAGGGUGCGCAGGCGGGCUGUUAAGCCGGCGGUAAAAAUUCAGGGCUCAACCCCUGUCGAGCCGUCGGAACUGGCAGUCUUGAGUGGGCGAGAAGUAUGCGGAAUGCGUGGUGUAGCGGUGAAAUGCAUAGAUAUCACGCAGAACCCCGAUUGCGAAGGCAGCAUACCGGCGCCCGACUGACGCUGAAGCACGAAAGCGUGGGUAUCGAACAGG